rnacentral:tRNA from 1 species
GGCCCUAUCGUCUAGCCAGGUCCAGGACGGGGGAUUCUCAGUCCUCAAACCCGGGUUCAAAUCCCGGUAGGGCCACCA